rnacentral:rRNA from 1 species
AGAACGAACGCUGGCGGCAUGCCUAACACAUGCAAGUCGAACGAGACCUUCGGGUCUAGUGGCGCACGGGUGCGUAACGCGUGGGAAUCUGCCCUUCGGUUCGGAAUAACAGUUAGAAAUGACUGCUAAUACCGGAUAAUGACGUAAGUCCAAAGAUUUAUCGCCGAAGGAUG